AUUGAACGCUGGCGGCAUGCCUAACACAUGCAAGUCGAGCGGAUGAAGGGAGCUUGCUCCUGGAUUCAGCUGCGGACGGGUGAGUAAUGCCUAGGAAUCUGCCUGGUAGUUGGGGAUAACGUCCGUAAACGGGCGCUAAUACCGCAUACGUCCUGAGGGAGAAAGUGGGGGAUCUUCGGACCUCACGCUAUCAGAUGAGCCUAGGUCGGAUUAGCUAGUUGGUGGGGUAAAGGCCUACCAAGGCGACGAUCCGUAACUGGUCUGAGAGGAUGAUCAGUCACACUGGAACUGAGACACGGUCCAGACUCCUACGGGAGGCAGCAGUAGGGAAUAUUGGACAAUGGGCGAAAGCCUGAUCCAGCCAUGCCGCGUGUGUGAAGAAGGUCUUCGGAUUGUAAAGCACUUUAAGUUGGGAGGAAGGGCAGUAAGUUAAUACCUUGCUGUUUUGACGUUACCAACAGAAUAAGCACCGGCUAACUUCGUG
rnacentral:rRNA from 1 species